rnacentral:lncRNA from 1 species
UUGAGAGAGGUCAGCGUGAGCCCCUUGCCUCACACCGGCCCCUCCCACGCUGAGAGAGGUCAGUGUGAGCCCUUGCCUCACACCGGCCCCUCCCACGCGGACAGAGGUCAGCGUGAGCCCCUUGCCUCACACCGGCCCCUCCCACGCUGAGAGAGGUCAGUGUGAGCCCUUGCCUCACCCCGGCCCCUCCCACGUGGACAGAGGUCAGCGUGAGCCCCUUGUCUCACACCGGCCCCUCCCACGCUGAGAGAGGUCAGUGUGAGCCCUUGCCUCACACCGGCCCCUCCCACGCGGACAGAGGUCAGCGUGAGCCCCUUGCCUCACACCGGCCCCUCCCACGCGGACAGAGGUCAGCCCGAGCCCCUUGUCUCACACCGGCCCCUCCCAUGCUGAGAGAGGUCAGCGUGCCCCUUGUCUCACACCGGCCCCUCCCACGCUGAGAGAGGUCAGCCCAAGCCCCUUGCCUCACACCGGCCCCUCCCACGCGGACAGAGGUCAGCCCGAGCCCCUUGCCUCACACCGGCCCCUCCCACGCUGAGAGAGGUGUGAGCCCCUUGUCUCACACCGGCCCCUCCCACGCGGACAGAGGUCAGCGUGAGCCCCUUGCCUCACCCCGGCCCCUCCCACGCUGAGAGAGGUCAGUGUGAGCCCUUGCCUCACACCGGCCCCUCCCACGCGGACAGAGGUCAGCGUGAGCCCCUUGCCUCACCCCGGCCCCUCCCACGCUGAGAGAGGUCAGUGUGAGCCCUUGCCUCACACCGGCCCCUCCCACGCGGACAGAGGUC